UGCCAGACUCCUACGGGAGGCAGCAGUGGGGAAUAUUGCACAGUGGGGGAAACCCUGAUGCAGCGACGCCGCGUGAGUGAAGAAGUAUUUCGGUAUGUAAAGCUCUCUCAGCAGGGAAGAUAAUGACGGUACCUGACUAAGAAGCCCCGGCUAACUACGUGCCAGCAGCCGCGGUAAUACGUAGGGGGCAAGCGUUAUCCGGAUUUACUGGGUGUAAAGGGUGCGUAGGUGGCAUGGCAAGUCAGAAGUGAAAGCCCGGGGCUCAACCCCGCGGACUGCUUUUGAAACUGUCAGGCUGGAGUACAGGAGAGGUAAGCGGAAUUCCUAGUGUAGCGGUGAAAUGCGUAGAUAUUAGGAGGAACACCAGUGGCGAAGGCGGCUUACUGGACUGUAACUGACACUGAGGCACGAAAGCGUGGGGAGCAAACAGGAUUAGAUACCCGUGUAUC
rnacentral:rRNA from 1 species